rnacentral:rRNA from 1 species
CGCUGGCGGCGUGGAUAAGACAUGCAAGUCGAACGAGAGAAUUGCUAGCUUGCUAAUAAUUCUCUAGUGGCGCACGGGUGAGUAACACGUGAGUAACCUGCCCCCGAGAGCGGGAUAGCCCUGGGAAACUGGGAUUAAUACCGCAUAGUAUCGAAAGAUUAAAGCAGCAAUGCGCUUGGGGAUGGGCUCGCGGCCUAUUAGUUAGUUGGUGAGGUAACGGCUCACCAAGGCGAUGACGGGUAGCCGGUCUGAGAGGAUGUCCGGCCACACUGGAACUGAGACACGGUCCAGACACCUACGGGUGGCAGCAGUCGAGAAUCAUUCACAAUGGGGGAAACCCUGAUGGUGCGACGCCGCGUGGGGGAAUGAAGGUCUUCGGAUUGUAAACCCCUGUCAUGUGGGAGCAAAUUAAAAAGAUAGUACCACAAGAGGAAGAGACGGCUAACUCUGUGCCAGCAGCCGCGGUAAUACAGAGGUCUCAAGCGUUGUUCGGAAUCACUGGGCGUAAAGCGUGCGUAGGCUGUUUCGUAAGUCGUGUGUGAAAGGCGCGGGCUCAACCCGCGGACGGCACAUGAUACUGCGAGACUAGAGUAAUGGAGGGGGAACCGGAAUUCUCGGUGUAGCAGUGAAAUGCGUAGAUAUCGAGAGGAACACUCGUGGCGAAGGCGGGUUCCUGGACAUUAACUGACGCUGAGGCACGAAGGCCAGGGGAGCGAAAGGGAUUAGAUACCCCUGUAGUCCUGGCAGUAAACGGUGCACGCUUGGUGUGCGGGGAAUCGACCCCCUGCGUGCCGGAGCUAACGCGUUAAGCGUGCCGCCUGGGGAGUACGGUCGCAAGAUUAAAACUCAAAGAAAUUGACGGGGACCCGCACAAGCGGUGGAGUAUGUGGCUUAAUUCGAUGCAACGCGAAGAACCUUACCUGGGCUUGACAUGUAAUGAACAACAUGUGAAAGCAUGCGACUCUUCGGAGGCGUUACACAGGUGCUGCAUGGCCGUCGUCAGCUCGUGUCGUGAGAUGUUUGGUUAAGUCCAGCAACGAGCGCAACCCCUGUUGCCAGUUACCAGCACGUGAAGGUGGGGACUCUGGCGAGACUGCCCAGAUCAACUGGGAGGAAGGUGGGGACGACGUCAGGUCAGUAUGGCCCUUAUGCCCAGGGCUGCACACGUACUACAAUGCCCAGUACAGAGGGGGCCGAAGCCGCGAGGCGGAGGAAAUCCUGAAAACUGGGCCCAGUUCGGACUGUAGGCUGCAACCCGCCUACACGAAGCCGGAAUCGCUAGUAAUGGCGCAUCAGCUACGGCGCCGUGAAUACGUUCCCGGGUCUUGUACACACCGCCCGUCACAUCAUGGAAGCCGGUCGCACCCGAAGUAUCUGAAGCCAACCGCAAGGAGGCAGGGUCCUAAGGUGAGACUGGUAACUGGGAU